AAAAUCAUACUUUUAAGAAUCGUUCCUAUAUUAUGAUUUUCUAGUUGUUGACGUAAAGUUAAUUACACAAAAACAAAAGGAUUAGAUAUGGUUUCACUUCCUGAUUGUGAGGACGCAUUUCAGCCUCUUUCGUAAGGUUGGAUGUUUGAUGGCCGUUUGGAGGACAUUUUACCCUCUUAUGGAGGGGAGAUAUCAUGA
rnacentral:snoRNA from 1 species